UCUAGUUUUUUGUCCCUUAGACGUUUGUUUCCUCUCUAUUUAGCUGAAAUCAUAAUCUCUCUCAAAUCCUCUAAAAUUACUCGAUUCUAAACCCAAUAUCUCUCAAAUCGAUCAUCUUCCUUCCUUCUCCUCUAAAUUCUCUUUCCAAUUCCUCCACUUUCACAUCUGUUUUGCUGAGAAUGCUUCCCAAAUCGAUUGAAACCCUAAAUUUCUGUUCUAAGCUCUUUUUCGAUCUAAUCCCAAAUUCAAAACCCUAAUCUCUGUGAGAAACACUAAUCUCUGUGAGAAACACUAAUCUCUGAGGGCUGGCCGUGUAAGGAAGAAAGGAGGAGGAGGUGCGUCCGUCGCAACGAAGAGGACAUGCGGCGGUUCUCCUUCCGUCAUCAGAACUCCAUCGCCUCUACAACGUGUAGCUAUUCUCUCGACCGAGAUCGAGGAAGUGUCGUAACGCCAAGUGCAAAGGGUUGAAGAAGGCUAUGGAGUUUGAUUUUCAGCUGCAGACGGAGGAAUCCAAUCGGGAUCAGCUAAGGAGAUUGAUUGGUUACUUUGGAAAGGAGGCAGCAAGAACAAUCCUGGUUACGAGUGUUUGAGAGCUGAGCUGAGGAGGAUGGCUCCACCUAAUGGUCGAGCUGUGUUGGGGGGAGAAGCCGGCGUCAUAAAAAUUCUUGGCCCUCACGUGCACUUAUCAGGGUUGAAGUUUUAUCAACAAAUCCAACAAGAAAUUUGUAUGAACACAAGAAGUUAUGCCAUGGCUAAUCCAAAGGAGUACUUCAAGGACAAAGGUCCAAAUGGUCUAGAAAAGGUAUCUAAGUGAUAUAGAUGUUGGUCUGAGGGAAAUGGAGUCAAGAAGAGUUGGUCUGAGGGAAAUGGAGUCAAGAAGAGUUGGAAUAAGCUGAGGCCAUAGCAUUCAUAUCGGUCAGAGUUAAGCCGAUAUAUAGGCCGGUGUAGAGGGGUUAAAAUUUCAACCUCUACACCGCCUAAAACAUGACCGGUGUGGGCAUUCAAUUUGGCCAAGUCCCUCUAACAAGAAGCCAUAUCGAGGAGGAAGUGACCGGUGCCAUAGACUGGUGUGGAGAGGUCCAAAGUUGCAAAGAUAUUGCGACCAACAUAUCAGAUGAAAGUUGUCUGAUAUGAAUGUGGCAUAACUCCUUUACCAGUGGUUCAUAGGGUGGCUCAGUCAUAGUCAAGGCUCCAACUGCAUCCAGCUGUUCCACACCACCCAAAAGGAGCCUUAUCUUCACCAAUAUGGGUUAUCUCUUUACACAUUUCUCCUCCUUUUUGCAAAGAAAUCGAUUUUCUCUUUGGUAUAACUUGCUUACACUAGCAUAGAAACCUAUUUUCUUUCUCUUUUCUGAGUCUAAAUAGUUUCUUGCAUCAUCUUGUUCAAUCCCAAGGUAACGUUUUGAAAAUCUUGCAUAUCAUCUUCUAAGAAAAUUAUCGAUGUGUUUUUGAAAUAUUUUUGAAGAAAUUUUCUUGAAAUUGUUGAUGCAUUGCUUAAACUGAUAUAGAUCCUUGGGAUUUAGGAUGGAAUCAGUUAAGAAAGAACUCAUUUGUGCUUAUUUGAUUCUUGGAUUUGGAUUCUCACUCUUUGGAUUUAUUGUUCUUGAGUUGAAUUUCUGAUUUUUAAGAAAUCUUUGUUGAGUUAAAAACUCUUGGUUGAAUUUAUAACUUCAUGAAUUGUUCUUACUUAAUCAUGACUAUUAAUUCCACUCUUGAAUUCAUUACAAGCAAAAAUUUUCUUUAAAAACCAUAGAGAUAUUAUCUUUUCUUGGAAACUCAUUCCUUUGUUUGAGAUUUUGUUGGUAUAUGCACAAUGGCAAGAAGAAAAGGACAUUUGACACUACCAACACUGCCAAGAAAAGAUAAAGAGAAGAUUGUGGGUUCUAGUUCAUAUGGCAAAGAGAAGAUGAUCGGUUCUGGUUAUAAAGAGUUAGGAGAGAUGCCAUGAGAUCUCCAUCAAAUCAGUCCAGCAACCCUUCUUACUCAAUGUGGUCAUGUCCAUCACUUAGUUACAGAGAUAAAUCAACCCUGCUCAGAUCUUGUGUCAACUUCAAGUAAUUAAAGCAAUCAACUGAUCCAAAGAAAAAAUAACUAACAAUAUAUUUAAUACCAUAGAGAGUGAAAACAUUUUGGGCAUCUAUUGUGCAAUUGGUAAAUAUUUUUUUUGAUCCUUAUAACUAUUAUGAAGAAAAUAUAAAAUUAUUUUAAUGGCAAUUACAUUCCAAAAAAAAACUUCAUUUGAUUCAUGUUGUUUCAAGGAUCACUAUAACUAUUAGUAGUGUGUUUCUUAAACAAGGAAGAUACAUGAACAAGAUUAAC